AAAAGAUGGUUCUGCUAUCACUCUUGGAUGGACCUGCGGUGCAUUAGCUAGUUGGUAAGGUAACGGCUUACCAAGGCAAUGAUGCAUAGCCGAGUUGAGAGACUGAUCGGCCACAUUGGGACUGAGACACGGCCCAAACUCCUACGGGAGGCAGCAGUAGGGAAUCUUCCACAAUGGACGCAAGUCUGAUGGAGCAACGCCGCGUGAGUGAAGAAGGGUUUCGGCUCGUAAAGCUCUGUCGGUAGUGAAGAAAGAUAGAGGUAGUAACUGGCCUUUAUUUGACGGUAAUUACCUAGAAAGUCACGGCUAACUACGUGCCAGCAGCCGCGGUAAUACGUAGGUGGCAAGCGUUGUCCGGAUUUAUUGGGCGUAAAGCGAGUGCAGGCGGUUCAAUAAGUCUGAUGUGAAAGCCUUCGGCUCAACCGGAGAAUUGCAUCAGAAACUGUUGAACUUGAGUGCAGAAGAGGAGAGUGGAACUCCAUGUGUAGCGGUGGAAUGCGUAGAUAUAUGGAAGAACACCAGUGGCGAAGGCGGCUCUCUGGUCUGCAACUGACGCUGAGGCUCGAAAGCAUGGGUAGCGAACAGGAUUAGAUACCCUGGUAGUCCAUGCCGUAAACGAUGAGUGCUAAGUGUUGGGAGGUUUCCGCCUCUCA
rnacentral:rRNA from 1 species